GAUGAACGCUGGCGGCGUGCUUAACACAUGCAAGUCGAACGGGAAACCUUUUAAUGAAGCUUCGGCAGAUUUAGCUGGUUUCUAGUGGCGGACGGGUGAGUAACGCGUGGGUAACCUGCCUUAUACAGGGGGAUAACAGUCAGAAAUGACUGCUAAUACCGCAUAAGCGCACAGGACCGCAUGGUCCGGUGUGCAAAACUCCGGUGGUAUAAGAUGGACCCGCGUUGGAUUAGCUUGUUGGUGGGGUAACGGCUCACCAAGGCGACGAUCCAUAGCCGGCCUGAGAGAGUGAGCGGCCACAUUGGGACUGAGACACGGCCCAGACUCCUACGGGAGGCAGCAGUGGGGAAUAUUGCACAAUGGGGGAAACCCUGAUGCAGCGACGCCGCGUGAAGGAAGAAGUAUCUCGGUAUGUAAACUUCUAUCAGCAGGGAAGAUAGUGACGGUACCUGACGAAGAAGCCCCGGCUAACUACGUG
rnacentral:rRNA from 1 species